GACAGAGGGUGCAAACGUUGUUCGGAAUUACUGGGCGUAAAGCGAGUGUAGGCGGUUUGAUAAGUCGGAUGUGAAAGCCCCGGGCUCAACCCGGGAAGUGCACUCGAUACUGUCAAGCUAGAGUAUCGGAGAGGUUGGUGGAAUUCUCGGUGUAGAGGUGAAAUUCGUAGAUAUCGGGAGGAACACCAGUGGCGAAGGCGGCGAUCUGGGAAGAUACUGACGCUGAGGUGCGAAAGCGUGGGGAGCAAACAGG
rnacentral:rRNA from 1 species